rnacentral:rRNA from 1 species
GCAGAAUGUUGGCAGCAUUUCAAGGAGGUCAAGGCUGUAAGUAAGAGGACGCCAGGGGCGGUUGUCACGAAGGAAAAGUGUUUUCAUUGUGCUCAAUUGUUUGCUUAUACUCCUGGGGGGUCAACUACUAGCCUCAAUAGGCAUAAAGAUGUUUGUUCAGUCUAUCUAAACAAGAAGGGAAGACAACAAAAUCAAGGUACAAUCAACUUCGAUCCUGAAAAGCCAGGUGCAUCUCUCAUAGUAAACCAUGAAUACAAUCAUGCAGAAGUUGUUAAGAUCAUAGCAAAGAUGAUAAUUGUGCAUGAUUAUCCCUUUAGGAUGGUAGAACAUGCUUGGUUCAAUAUCCUCAUGAAGUAUAUGAAUGCGUCCUACAAGUUUAUCGGUCGGAAGAAAAUUAGAGAUGAAUGCAUGAAGGUGUAUCUUUCCGAGAAAGAAAUCCUUAAAAAGCAACUAAAGUCUGUUGAAAGCAUUAGUUUGACAUGUGAUCUAUGGAAUUCAAACCAAACUCUCUCAUACCUAGCUAUGGUUUCUCAUUACAUAGAUGAUGAUUGGAUCAUGCAAUGUCGUGUUUUAAACUUAAUAGAGCUAGAUCCACCUCACUCGGGUAGUGUCAUAGCUCAAGCAAUUUAUGAGUGUUGCCAAGAAUGGAAAAUAGAAGAUAAGAUCAUGAUAAUCACUAUGGAUAAUGCUUCCUCAAAUGAUAAUGCUGCUAAGAGAUUGAUGGACAAGAUCAUUGCUAGGAAAUCGGCUAAAUUUAUUCCUAAGUACUUCCAUGUUCGCUGCUGCGCACAUUGUCAGUUUGAUAGUGAAUGA